CUGCGAUAAGAAAGCAUCAUCAUGUACUGCACUACUCAACAGUUACCAAUCCUCCAAACAUUAUAAAUUGUUAGAAUAGUCUAGAACAAAAUAGUUGAUCAACUGGGGCACAUAUUGGGAACAAUAUUUUACACGUAAACAUGGUAUAAAGAUUAUCGGUUUUUCUAUAGUGUGCCCAUGGGCACAUGCUAAGCACCAAAAUCUAUGGAUUUGGACUUUGGAGGGUUUUGAUUGGCUUACACUCUUCAAUAAUGAUGGCCCCCCUGCAUUUACAACAACCACACCAAUCAAAACCUUCUAAAACUAUAAAUUUUUGUGCUUAGCAUGUGCCCAUGGGCACACACUAGACAAACCGAAAUAUUAUAUAUCAUGAACUUCUUAUGGUUUUCGAGGUGAUUAACAAGAUUUAGAAUUCUUUUGUCCCAACAGUCUCGAGUUCCAAAGCUGGAAAGCUAGUUACCAACUAAUUACUUUAAGGUAAAUAUAUUUUUUUUGCAGAAAUUUAACGAACUGGGUAAUUUAGCAGCAUGAGUGAGUAGAUUUAUCGAAUUUUGUGGCGGUUGCAUUUUAAAAUAAAUUGACUCAUUUCAACAACUGAAUAUUCAAAAUCAGACAACAAAUCUGACAAGAUUCAACAGCCAGUCACGGGAGAUAUGGUAAUUAACUAUUAUAGAUCUUAAAAUACAUAUGCACCAAACCACCAAUACACAAAGAUAUACAUGCAUAUUCAUUACAAAAUUAGAAUGGUUGCAAAGAGGUGAUACUCGAUAUUUCAUUAAGAUACAGCCUCCCCUAAAUAAAGCCUAAAUAAUAAACAUGGCCAUCACGAUAACAUAUAGUAUUAUGCUAUCAUUGAAUCAAUUGUUGUACAAUUAGGUUAAUCAAAUUACAAGUAGGACCCCAACGCCAAAUCGGAGGGAUUCCUUUGAAUUUUUAUUAGUAAAGAACUAUCAAUUUCGAACAGUUGUAAGACACCCCACCUGGUAUCAACUAAUGCCACAUGAACAAGGUAAUAAAACAACCACAUACACACCACACACCACAUAAUUUAACAUAUAAUUAUCCUAAAUAUGCCUGAAAUGAAAAAAAUCAACGAUUAAUGUUGCAACUAAAUGCUGCGUAUUAGGAGACAUUUCACAAUAAUAUUGACAGAAGAUGGGCAGCUUAACACACACAACAAAUAUAAACCACCUAGAUAUUACCAAAAAUGCCACCUAAGAUAUCACAACAAAUGCCAAUCUGCAUUCAUACUUAAUUACUACUACAAUUGAUGCAUUACAUGCAUCAUGUCUUGGUUUCUGCUUUUGCUAGAUACCAUUAUACUACCGACACUGAAACGAUAAACAAUUUAUGUUUCGCACUGCUCUAAAAAUUCCUAGUUAAACAGAGGGAUCCCUACUUCAUGACUUUAAGGUUCUGUACCUGUUCAAAUCUGACUACUGCAACAAUGUUCAAAGGUCCAUUAAAGUAUCCGACUAGAAGAUUGAAACUAAAGGUCCUAGAUCCGCUUACC
rnacentral:lncRNA from 1 species